rnacentral:rRNA from 1 species
UAGGGAAUUUUGCGCAAUGGACGAAAUGUCUGACGCAGCGACGCCGCGUGUGGGAUGAAGGGUUUCGGCUCGUAAACCACUGUCAGAUGGGAAGAUGGGGUAGUAAGUUAAUACCUUACUAUCUUGACUGUACCAUCAGAGGAAGCACCGGCUAACUACGUGCCAGCAGCCGCGGUAAUACGUAGGGUGCUAGCGUUACUCGGAAUCAUUGGGCGUAAAGGGUGUGUAGGUGGAUUAGUAAGUCAGAUGUGAAAGCCUUGGGCUCACCCCAAGAAGUGCAUUUGAUACUGCUAUUCUAGAGUUCGGGAGAGGGAGGCAGAAUUCCAGGUGUAGAGGUGAAAUCCGUAGAUAUCUGGAGGAAUACCGGAGGCGAAGGCGGCCUCCUGGACCGAUACUGACACUGAAACACGAAAGCGUGGGGAGCAAACAGG